CACGAGGGGUGCGAGCGUUGUUCGGAAUCACUGGGCGUAAAGGGCGCGUAGGCGGCCUUCUAAGUCGGGAGUCUAAUCACGGGGCCUAACCCCGUGGCCGCUCCCGAUACUGGAAGGCUUGGAUCCCUCCGGGGCUGUCGGAACACCUGGUGUAGCGGUGGAAUGCGUAGAUAUCAGGUGGAACACCAGUGGCGAAGGCGGACAGCUGGGAGGAGAUCGACGCUGAGGCGCGAAAGCAUGGGGAGCGAACAGG
rnacentral:rRNA from 1 species